rnacentral:misc_RNA from 1 species
UCAGGCCAUGCGCCUUGAAGGACUGCUCCAGGCUGUGGCUGAGAUGGUCGUGGAUCAACGCCUUCUUCGCGCUUUCGAUGGCGCUCUCGACCGCCUGCAAUUGCUGGGCGAUCUGCGCGCAGGGCCGGCCGCUUUCGACCAUUUCGAUGAUGGUUUCGAGAUGGCCAUUGGCGCGUUUCAGGCGCCGAGCGAUUGCAAGGUGAGGGUGGUCACGCAUUGAUCUAAUGUCUCCUAUCCUCCCUCCGGAUAUAUCACCUAUCCUCCCUAGGGGAUAGAAGAGGCCUCAUAACCCUCCUUGGACCCGCGCGUACUGCCUACG